AAAAAAGCCUCUAGCGAGCUGGUACAUGGCCCGUACCCCAAACCGACACAGGUGGUCAGGUAGAGAAUACUAAGGCGAUCGAGAGAACUGUGGUUAAGGAACUCGGCAAAAUGCCCCCGUAACUUCGGGAGAAGGGGGACCAGUCCUGGUGACGACAUUUACUGUCUGAGCUGGGGUUGGUCGCAGAGACCAGAGAGAAGCGACUGUUUACUAAAAACACAGGUCCGUGCGAAGUCGUAAGACGAUGUAUACGGACUGACGCCUCCCCGGUGCUGGAAGGUUAAGAGGACCGGUCAGCCACUUCGGUGGCGAAGCUGAGAAUUUAAGCCCCAGUAAACGGCGGUGGUAACUAUAACCAUCCUAAGGUAGCGAAAUUCCUUGUCGGGUAAGUUCCGACCUGCACGAAUGGCGUAACGACUUCUCUGCUGUCUCAACCACAGACUCGGCGAAAUUGCAGUACGAGUAAAGAUGCUCGUUACGCGCGGCAGGACGAAAAGACCCCGGGACCUUCACUAUAGCUUGGUAUUGGUGUUCGGUUCGGUUUGUGUAGGAUAGGUGGGAGACUGUGAAACUCGCACGCCAGUGUGGGUGGAGUCAUUGUUGAAAUACCACUCUGACCGUAUUGGACAUCUAACCUCGGACCAUGAUCUGGUUCAGGGACAGUGCCUGGUGGGUAGUUUAACUGGGGCGGUUGCCUCCUAAAAAGUAACGGAGGCGCCCAAAGGUUCCCUCAGCCUGGUUGGCAAUCAGGUGUUGAGUGUAAGUGCACAAGGGAGCUUGACUGUGAGACGUACAUGUCGAGCAGGGACGAAAGUCGGGACUAGUGAUCCGGCACCGGCAAGUGGAAGCGGUGUCGCUCAACGGAUAAAAGGUACCCCGGGGAUAACAGGCUGAUCUUCCCCAAGAGUCCAUAUCGACGGGAUGGUUUGGCACCUCGAUGUCGGCUCGUCGCAUCCUGGGGCUGGAGUAGGUCCCAAGGGUUGGGCUGUUUGCCCAUUAAAGCGGCACGCGAGCUGGGUUUAGAACGUCGUGAGACAGUUCGGUCUCUAUCCGCCGCGCGCGUAAGAAACUUGAGGAAACCUGUCCCUAGUACGAGAGGACCGGGACGGACGAACCUCUGGUGUGCCAGUUGUUCCACCAGGAGCACCGCUGGUUAGCUACGUUCGGAAGGGAUAACCGCUGAAAGCAUCUAAGCGGGAAGCCUGUUCCAAGAUGAGGUUUCUCACCACCUAGCGUGGUUAAGGCCCCCCACAGACCAUGGGGUUGAUAGGCCAGAACUGUAAGCACAGCAAUGUGUUCAGGUGACUGGUACUAAUCGGCCGAGGACUUACU
rnacentral:rRNA from 1 species